UACGUAGGUGGCAAGCGUUGUCCGGAUUUAUUGGGCGUAAAGCGAGCGCAGGCGGAAAGAUAAGUCUGAUGUGAAAUCCACAGGCUCAACCUGUGAACUGCAUUUGAAACUGUUUCCCUUGAGUAUCGGAGAGGUCAUCGGAAUUCCUAGUGUAGCGGUGAAAUGCGUAGAUAUUAGGAAGAACACCAGUGGCGAAGGCGGAUGACUGGACGACAACUGACGGUGAGGCGCGAAAGCGUGGGGAGCAAACAGG
rnacentral:rRNA from 1 species